AAUGAACGCUGGCGGCGUGCUUAACACAUGCAAGUCGUACGAGAACUCUUCUGCUUGCAGAAGAUAGUAAAGUGGCGCACGGGUGAGUAACGCGUGGGCAAUCUACCUCCGAAUUGGGGAUAACCCCGCGAAAGCGGGGCUAAUACCGGAUAAUAUCUUUUAUAUUUCGGCAUUAAAGAUCAAAGGUGGUCUCUACAUGUAAGCUACUGUUUGGAGAUGAGCCCGCGUGCCAUUAGCUUGUUGGUAGGGUAAUGGCCUACCAAGGCUACGAUGGCUAGCUGGUCUGAGAGGAUGAUCAGCCACACUGGAACUGACACACGGUCCAGACUCCUNACGGGAGGCAGCAGUGAGGAAUUUUGCGCAAUGGGGGAAACCCUGACGCAGCAACGCCGCGUGAGUGAUGAAGGCUUUCGGGUCGUAAAGCUCUGUCAAGUGGGAAGAACAUGCUCGAUGUUAAUACCAUCGUGCACUGACGGUACCACUGAGGAAGCACCGCUAAC
rnacentral:rRNA from 1 species